UACAGAGGGGGCAAGCGUUAUUCGGAAUUACUGGGCGUAAAGGGCGCGUAGGCGGCCUUCUAAGUCGAACGUGAAAUCCCUGGGCUCAACCCAGGAACUGCGUCCGAUACUGGAAGGCUUGAAUCCGGGAGAGGGAUGCGGAAUUCCAGGUGUAGCGGUGAAAUGCGUAGAUAUCUGGAGGAACACCGGUGGCGAAGGCGGCAUCCUGGACCGGCAUUGACGCUGAGGCGCGAAAGCCAGGGGAGCAAACGGG
rnacentral:rRNA from 1 species